GUACACAAAAAUGCACAUGCUGUGAGCUCGAUGAGUAGGGCGGGACACGUGGUAUCCUGUCUGAAUAUGGGGGGACCAUCCUCCAAGGCUAAAUACUCCUGACUGACCGAUAGUGAACCAGUACCGUGAGGGAAAGGCGAAAAGAACCCCGGCGAGGGGAGUGAAAAAGAACCUGAAACCGUGUACGUACAAGCAGUGGGAGCACGCUUAGGCGUGUGACUGCGUACCUUUUGUAUAAUGGGUCAGCGACUUAUAUUCUGUAGCAAGGUUAACCGAAUAGGGGAGCCGAAGGGAAACCGAGUCUUAACUGGGCGUUAAGUUGCAGGGUAUAGACCCGAAACCCGGUGAUCUAGCCAUGGGCAGGUUGAAGGUUGGGUAACACUAACUGGAGGACCGAACCGACUAAUGUUGAAAAAUUAGCGGAUGACUUGUGGCUGGGGGUGAAAGGCCAAUCAAACCGGGAGAUAGCUGGUUCUCCCCGAAAGCUAUUUAGGUAGCGCCUCGUGAAUUCAUCUCCGGGGGUAGAGCACUGUUUCGGCAAGGGGGUCAUCCCGACUUACCAACCCGAUGCAAACUGCGAAUACCGGAGAAUGUUAUCACGGGAGACACACGGCGGGUGCUAACGUCCGUCGUGAAGAGGGAAACAACCCAGACCGCCAGCUAAGGUCCCAAAGUCAUGGUUAAGUGGGAAACGAUGUGGGAAGGCCCAGACAGCCAGGAUGUUGGCUUAGAAGCAGCCAUCAUUUAAAGAAAGCGUAAUAGCUCACUGGUCGAGUCGGCCUGCGCGGAAGAUGUAACGGGGCUAAACCAUGCACCGAAGCUGCGGCAGCGACACUGUGUGUUGUUGGGUAGGGGAGCGUUCUGUAAGCCUGCGAAGGUGUGCUGUGAGGCAUGCUGGAGGUAUCAGAAGUGCGAAUGCUGACAUAAGUAACGAUAAAGCGGGUGAAAAGCCCGCUCGCCGGAAGACCAAGGGUUCCUGUCCAACGUUAAUCGGGGCAGGGUGAGUCGACCCCUAAGGCGAGGCCGAAAGGCGUAGUCGAUGGGAAACAGGUUAAUAUUCCUGUACUUGGUGUUACUGCGAAGGGGGGACGGAGAAGGCUAUGUUGGCCGGGCGACGGUUGUCCCGGUUUAAGCGUGUAGGCUGGUUUUCCAGGCAAAUCCGGAAAAUCAAGGCUGAGGCGUGAUGACGAGGCACUACGGUGCUGAAGCAACAAAUGCCCUGCUUCCAGGAAAAGCCUCUAAGCAUCAGGUAACAUCAAAUCGUACCCCAAACCGACACAGGUGGUCAGGUAGAGAAUACCAAGGCGCUUGAGAGAACUCGGGUGAAGGAACUAGGC
rnacentral:rRNA from 1 species